rfam:Daphnia pulex DAPPTscaffold_499_Cont9814, whole genome shotgun sequence.
GGGGUUGUAACUCAGUGGAAGAGUUUUCGCUUUGCAUGCGAAAAGCCCAGAGUUCAAUCCUCCGCAACUCCA